rnacentral:rRNA from 1 species
GACGAACCGUGCGAACGUUAUUCGGAAUCACUGGGCUUAAAGGGCGCGUAGGCGGGCUCGCCAGUCAGGGGUGAAAGCCCACGGCUCAACCGUGGAAGUGCCUUUGAUACUGCGAGUCUCGAGGGAGGUAGGGGCGUGCGGAACUUCCGGUGGAGCGGUGAAAUGCGUAGAUAUCGGAAGGAACAUCGGUGGCGAAAGCGGCGCGCUGGACCUCUUCUGACGCUGAGGCGCGAAAGCGUGGGGAGCAAACAGG